CCCCCGACUGAUGGCGACGGCUGGAUUGC
rnacentral:sRNA from 1 species